CCGAGUGUAGCUUAUUUAAAGCCUUUUAUUUACACUAAAAAGAUCUUAGUAUCUAGGUAUUUGGA
rnacentral:tRNA from 1 species